CGGGAGGAGUAGGAGGCUUGUAAGGCUUCGUUGGUGGUGGUGGUGGUGGUGGUGGUGACUUGUAGUGGUAUGGAAUGUGGGGUGGAGAGUAGACUGGAGGAGGAGGAGAAGGCGGUGGUGGAGACUUGUAGUGGUAAGGCGGUGACUUGGGAGGGUAGUGGGGGUGCUUAGGUGGUGAGUACACUGGUGGUGUUGGGGAUGGUGGUGGCUUAGGAGGGUAAUGGGGGUGCUUGGGUGGUGAGUACUUGGGUGGUGUUGGAGAGGGUGGUGACUUGGGAGGGUAGUGAGGAUGCUUGGGUGGUGAGUACACUGGUGGUGUUGGUGAGGGUGGUGACUUGGGAGGGUAAUGAGGGUGCUUGGGUGGUGAGUAGACCGGUGUCUUAGGUGGUGACUUGGGGGGGUAGUAGGGGUGGUGAGGUGGUGAGUAGACUGGCGUUGGUGGUGGAGGAGACUUGUAGUGGUAUGGCUUCUUUGGUGGUGGUGGUGAGUGAUGUGGGUGGUAGGGCUUCUUGUGUGGUGGCGGGGGUGGUGGAGACUUGUAGUGGUAAGGCUUCUUCGGUGGUGGUGGAGGUGGUGGAGACUUGUAGUGGUAUGGCUUCUUUGGUGGUGGUGGUGAGUGGUGUGGAUGGUAGGGCUUCUUGUGUGGUGGGGGUGGUGGAGGAGACUUGUAAUGGUAAGGGACCUUCGGUGGUGGCGGUGAUGGAGGAGGAGGAGACUUGUAGUGGUAAGGCACCUUAGGUGGUGGUGGUGAUGGAGGAGGAGGAGACUUGUAGUGGUAUGGCACCUUUGGUGGUGGUGGUGACGGAGGUGGUGGAG
rnacentral:lncRNA from 1 species